rnacentral:rRNA from 1 species
GACGAACGCUGGCGGCGUGCUUAACACAUGCAAGUCGAACGGAAAGGCCCUGCUUUUGUGGGGUGCUCGAGUGGCGAACGGGUGAGUAACACGUGAGUAACCUGCCCUUGACUUUGGGAUAACUUCAGGAAACUGGGGCUAAUACCGGAUAGGAGCUCCUGCUGCAUGGUGGGGGUUGGAAAGUUUCGGCGGUUGGGGAUGGACUCGCGGCCUAUCAGCUUGUUGGUGGGGUAGUGGCUUACCAAGGCUUUGACGGGUAGCCGGCCUGAGAGGGUGACCGGCCACAUUGGGACUGAGAUACGGCGCAGACUCCUACGGGAGGCAGCAGUGGGGAAUAUUGCACAAUGGGCGGAAGCCUGAUGCAGAAACGCCGCGUGCGGGAUGACGGCCUUCGGGUUGUAAACCGCUUUCGCCUGUGACGAAGCGUGAGUGACGGUAAUGGGUAAAGAAGCACCGGCUAACUACGUG